UUGCAGAAUUCAGUGAAUCAUCUUAAUCUUUGAACGCACCUUGCGCUCCUUGGUAUUCCGAGGAGCAUGCCUGUUUGAGUG
rnacentral:rRNA from 1 species